rnacentral:tRNA from 1 species
UGGAUCACCUCCUAACAGGGAGACAACAAAAUGUUAAAUAUUAAUUUUGUCACCUUAGGUCGAUCGGUAUCUCACAUUCUUAAUUUAUUUAAGAAUUUUAUUUCCUAAGUUUUUCUAGGUCACACCCAUCAUUUUUCCUGGGCCAUUAGCUCAGGUGGUUAGAGCGCACCCCUGAUAAGGGUGAGGUCCCUGGUUCAAGUCCAGGAUGGCCCAUAUCUCUAUGUUGGGGGUAUAGCUCAGUUGGUAGAGCGCCUGCUUUGCAAGCAGGAUGUCAGCGGUUCGAGUCCGCUUACCUCCACUGAUUACCACCUCUUGCAUAAUUUAUAAAAGGGGAAUUUUGAGUUGUGAUCAAAUUCUGAACGAAUCUAGCCUCCUAAUGAAAUUCACUAAGAUGCUGGACUCAGUGAAUUAACUUCAUUGUUUUCAGAGAACCUUGACAACUGCAUAGAUUAUUUUUAAAGACAAUAAGCAUCUUUAAUGAUGCAGAUUUAUUAUUUGUGCGAAUGCAUUAAUAACAAUUCUAUUAAGCUGAUGCUUCAAUUUUUGAAGUUAUUGGUCAAGCUACAAAGGGCUCACGGAGGAUACCUAGGCACACAGAGGCGAUGAAGG